UACCAGACUCCUACGGGAGGCAGCAGUGGGGAAUAUUGCACAAUGGGGGAAACCCUGAUGCAGCGACGCCGCGUGAGCGAUGAAGUAUUUCGGUAUGUAAAGCUCUCUCAGCAGGGAAGAAAAUGACGGUACCUGACUAAGAAGCCCCGGCUAACUACGUGCCAGCAGCCGCGGUAAUACGUAGGGGGCAAGCGUUAUCCGGAUUUACUGGGUGUAAAGGGAGCGUAGACGGCCAUUCAAGCCAGAUGUGAAAGCCCGGGGCUCAACCCCGGGACUGCAUUUGGAACUGUGUGGCUAGAGUGUCGGAGAGGCAGGCGGAAUUCCUAGUGUAGCGGUGAAAUGCGUAGAUAUCAGGAGGAACACCGGCGGCGAAGGCGGCCUGCUGGACCGUGACUGACGUUGAGGCUCGAGAGCGUGGGGAGCAAACAGGAUUAGAUACCCUGGUAG
rnacentral:rRNA from 1 species